UUCCAGGUGUAGCGGUGAAAUGCGUAGAGAUCUGGAGGAAUACCGGUGGCGAAGGCGGCCCCCUGGACAAAGACUGACGCUCAGGUGCGAAAGCGUGGGGAGCAAACAGGAUUAGAUACCCUGGUAGUCCACGCCGUAAACGAUGUCGAUUUGGAGGUUGUGCCCUUGAGGCGUGGCUUCCGGAGCUAACGCGUUAAAUCGACCGCCUGGGGAGUACGGCCGCAAGGUUAAAACUCAAAUGAAUUGACGGGGGCCCGCACAAGCGGUGGAGCAUGUGGUUUAAUUCGAUGCAACGCGAAGAACCUUACCUGGUCUUGACAUCCACAGAACUUUCCAGAGAUGGAUUGGUGCCUUCGGGAACUGUGAGACAGGUGCUGCAUGGCUGUCGUCAGCUCGUGUUGUGAAAUGUUGGGUUAAGUCCCGCAACGAGCGCAACCCUUAUCCUUUGUUGCCAGGGUUAGGCCGGGAACUCAAAGGAGACUGCCAGUGAUAAACUGGAGGAAGGUGGGGAUGACGUCAAGUCAUGGCCCUUACGACCAGGGCUACACACGUGCUACAAUGGCAUAUACAAAGAGAAGCGACCUCGCGAGAGCAAGCGGACCUCAUAAAGUAUGUCGUAGUCCGGAUUGGAGUCUGCAACUCGACUCCAUGAAGUCGGAAUCGCUAGUAAUCGUAGAUCAGAAUGCUACGGUGAAUACGUUCCCGGGCCUUGUACACACCGCCCGUCACACCAUGGGAGUGGGUUGCAAAAGAAGUAGGUAGCUUAACCUUCGGAGGGCGCUUACCACUUUGUGAUUCAUGACUGGGGUGAAGUCGUAACAAGGUAACCGUAGGGGAACCUGCGGUUG
rnacentral:rRNA from 1 species